GGGUGUGACGGGUAACCCGGUCGGCAGGAUUCAGGGAUGGUCGGGCCGCCAUCU
rnacentral:ncRNA from 12 species